rnacentral:rRNA from 1 species
GACGGACGCUGGCGGCGUGCUUAGCACAUGCAAGUCGAACGGAAAGGCCCUGCUUUUGUGGGGUGCUCGAGUGGCGAACGGGUGAGUAACACGUGAGUAACCUGCCCUUGACUUUGGGAUAACUUCAGGAAACUGGGGCUAAUACCGGAUAGGAGCUCCUGCUGCAUGGUGGGGGUUGGAAAGUUUCGGCGGUUGGGGAUGGACUCGCGGCUUAUCAGCUUGUUGGUGGGGUAGUGGCUUACCAAGGCUUUGACGGGUAGCCGGCCUGAGAGGGUGACCGGCCACAUUGGGACUGAGAUACGGCCCAGACUCCUACGGGAGGCAGCAGUGGGGAAUAUUGCACAAUGGGCGGAAGCCUGAUGCAGCAACGCCGCGUGCGGGAUGACGGCCUUCGGGUUGUAAACCGCUUUCGCCUGUGACGAAGCGUGAGUGACGGUAAUGGGUAAAGAAGCACCGGCUAACUACGU